AAUAGAUACCCAGGUAGUCCACGCCGUAAACGAUGAGUGCUAAGUGUUAGAGGGUUUCCGCCCUUUAGUGCUGCAGCUAACGCAUUAAGCACUCCGCCUGGGGAGUACGGUCGCAAGACUGAAACUCAAAGGAAUUGACGGGGGCCCGCACAAGCGGUGGAGCAUGUGGUUUAAUUCGAAGCAACGCGAAGAACCUUACCAGGUCUUGACAUCCUCUGACAACUCUAGAGAUAGAGCGUUCCCCUUCGGGGGACAGAGUGACAGGUGGUGCAUGGUUGUCGUCAGCUCGUGUCGUGAGAUGUUGGGUUAAGUCCCGCAACGAGCGCAACCCUUGAUCUUAGUUGCCAGCAUUUAGUUGGGCACUCUAAGGUGACUGCCGGUGACAAACCGGAGGAAGGUGGGGAUGACGUCAAAUCAUCAUGCCCCUUAUGACCUGGGCUACACACGUGCUACAAUGGAUGGUACAAAGGGCUGCAAGACCGCGAGGUCAAGCCAAUCCCAUAAAACCGAUCCUCAGUUCGGAUUGU
rnacentral:rRNA from 1 species